rnacentral:rRNA from 1 species
UACGUAGGGUGCAAGCGUUGUCCGGAAUUAUUGGGCGUAAAGAGCUCGUAGGCGGUUCGUCGCGUCGGCUGUGAAAACCUGAGGCUCAACCUCAGGCCUGCAGUCGAUACGGGCGGACUUGAGUACUGCAGGGGAGACUGGAAUUCCUGGUGUAGCGGUGAAAUGCGCAGAUAUCAUUUGGAACGCCAAUGGUGAAAACAGGUCGCUGGGAGUGUGCUGACGCUGAGACACGAAAGCCAGGGGAGCAAACGGG